rnacentral:sRNA from 2 species
CAAGCAUGUUUCGAAUGGGGGGUGUGUGUGUGUGUGUGCUUGUGUGGUUGUAGCAAUUUUUGCUUCCCAUACCGUCUGUCGAGUGAUCGACGUCACCACGAUCCCUUCAAAAGCAUAUACUUUAUACGGGGCCUCUGCCGUCUUUCCCCUUUAUCAUCAAGCUUGACGAAAAAGUUACCACAGUAAAUCCAGAAGUUUUUCGUCGGCCGCUGCUGAUCGCAAAGAAAUAACGUAUCGUUUACGCCCCUGCCCAAUAAAAUCUAUGACAAGAUGGCCGAGUGGUUAAGGCGUACCGUUCAAGCUGUCACG